ensembl:lncRNA
GGGGGGGGGGGCUGGGGCUGUCAGAGUGCAGGGCCGGUUCAGCGGAGUGCUUUGAGAGGGAGGAGUGUUGUGUGGAGUCAGCGGUGGAGCAAUAAGAUUGUUUUCUUUUGGCCUGGAAAAGAAUGUUUGGGUCACUUUCAAAGGAUUAUCCUGCAGGGUCAUGUGGUUUAAUGCACGCUUUAAUCUCGCUUCAUUUCACCUUGUUGGAAGAAAAGUGGAUGAAGGCGUCAGUUUGAGCAAAGCCUGAUCCGUGCAGUCGGUGUCCCCAGUUUGUUUGCACACGGACUCUCAUGACUGACAGCAGAGUGGACUUUCACAUAGUUCACAGACGAUUACAAAAUCACAUAAUGGUGACACGAUGAAGAAAGAGGGGAAAAAAUUAAAUAUGAGGCCUUUUUUAUUUUGAUUUUGAUCUCACAGAGUCCAGAGGAAUGAUCCUUAAUCAGCCAGCCAAGCAAAAAAUAAAACAACAACAACAAACAAAGAUGAAGUGGAAGCAAAAAAUUAUAAUGAUAAAGUCCAAAAACAGGCUGGACAUGAAAACAGCCAACGCCAACCAGGAAACCACAAGAACACCAAGAACAGGAAGACCUCACACAAAGAAAAAGGAAAGAAGGAAACCUGCAGCGAGCAGCAACGCGACACAGCGUGAGGGGAGCAGGCGGGAAAUCAGCCGAUGCUGAGGGACAGCGGUGAGGCUCAUAUACUGUCAGUACGAACCACGGCAGUGAGAAACAGGUUCUAAUAGCAUUUGAUGUAAAAGGGCAAAGGUCAGAGGUCAAAGUCUGAUCAGGAUCCACUGAAAGCUUUUCCACCUAUCGUGUUUACAGACACUCAAACGCUACAAAAACCAUCACGUCCUUGGCUGAGGUGAGUGGGAAUCAAUGAAGAAACCCAAAAACCAUCGAGAUUCACUGCUUAAAGGUGCAGUAGGCACCAAGUUUAAGUGACUUCCAUCAGACAGGCACUGGGACCAGGACCGGGACCAGGACCGGGACCAGGACCUUUAAACAGCUUUGUAAAGUGAGACAUGUUUGGAGGCAAUCCCAAGAAAACAUCUUUCGCCCCUGAGGUUGCGUGCUGCAGCUAAACUUAGAGGCGGUCAGUUUAUCUGUGUGUGUACGUGUGUGUGUGUGUCAUGGUAGAAGAGAGUGUCUGGGGAUUUUGCAGCUGGAGUCGGUGUUUUUCCUGUGUCUGCCCUCGUGGGUGGAGUCCCUGGUGUCUCACCUGAGUUCCAUCCACGGUUAAUCAGCAGAAGGUUCUUGAGGCCAGCGCUGUCCUCCACUCGCCACCAGUUUGUCAGCUACGUUCUGUUAGUGGUCAAUCUACAGACGCAUCCACUGCUGAAGCUUCUAUCGGACGCUGGUCAUACCUGGAAAGUUCAUCUGUAACCUUGGAAAAACAACUACUCACCACACUUACCUGCCUGGCCUCCUGCUCAUCGUUCUCCUCCUGGACUCCCUUGGAGCUGGAUCGGAUCUCUUGCUACUCCCACUGCUCUCACCUUGCCCGGACACUCGAGCCUGCAUCCGAGUCCUGAUUGGAUAAGGCAUAGACAGGAAGGGAAAAGUGAUGACUAUUAGUACAAAUGGAAGAAGAUGUGACCUUUAUCUGAAUGAUCCUGAGGUGGAUCCCCGACACGCUACUCGCACGCUACAGUUCAGGCUCAGCAGGCUGCAUUAUCACAGGAAUGCUACCUGCACACCUGUGUCACCUGCUGUUCACGUGAUUGGACCUUCGGAUAAGAGUGUGCUUUACAUGCUGAUGUGCAAACUGUGAAUGCAGCUCUUCCAGGAAUGAAGCGCAGCAGCGCUGCAUGCCUUUCAAACACACAACCAGAUGGUGCAGUCUGCUCUUUUGCACCAGCGCGUCUCACAAACACCAGUGAAACAUCACAGUUUGAUCAGGUGUGAACAGCAGCCAGUUGUUCAGCUGGUGCUGAACUUGUUCUCUGGGUUAAAAACAUCACAGCUGCUGCUGCCGGAUCUCUGAGCACCUCAAUGCUCAAACCUGUAACUCCAUCUCAUUCGCACGGAGUGAGCUCUGGGGCUAUGAGGAACACACUGAAGUGCCAAAACCUGCAGUCCCUCUAACGUCCAGCAGUGACUCCCCUUUCAUCAGAACUCUACAGGGCGGGGGGUUUAGAUUCACCAGUGUGGGUCAGCUGAAGGGAAAUGGCAGUUUUUGUGGAACUUGAGACGAUGAAAGUGUAUUCACGCCAUGUCUGUGCUACCUCUGUCAGCGGUGACAACGAAAUGAGAAGAACCGAGCCGGGGCCUUUCAGUGUAAGUUUUGCAUGUUCUCCCUGCGCCUGCAGGUUUCCCUCCACAGUCUAAAGACUCACAGGUCAGUUUGAUUCUACGCUGGCCAUGUGACGUGCUGUAUGAGUGUGCGGUCAGAGCACCCCAUGUAGUUCAAAGUGCUCCCAUUGAUCAGUAAGAGGUCAUAAGAUUAGAAAUGCAUCUGAGCUCUGAUGAAGCAGUGAAGACCGUG